CCAUAGCUAGUGUGAGUACGCUCACAGCGACGAUGGUAGCGGCUGAGAGGGUGGACACACACUGGACUGAGACACGGCCAGACUCUWCGGGAGGCAGCAGUAGGGAUAUGCGCAAUGGACGGAAGUCUGACGCAGCGACGCGCGUGAGCGAUGAAGGUCUUCGGAUCGUAAAGCUCUGUCCUUGGGGAAGAAGGCGAAAGCUUGACGGUACCCAAGAAGAAAGCCCCGGCUAACUACGUGCCAGCAGCCGCGGUAAUACGUAGGGGGCGAGCGUUGUCCGGAAUUACUGGGCGUAAAGGGUGCGUAGGCGGCCCUUUAAGUCGGAUGUGAAAGCCCGCGGCUUAACCGCGGAAUGGCAUUCGAAACUGGAGGGCUUGAGUGUCGGAGAGGGUAGUGGAAUUCCCAGUGUAGCGGUGAAAWRMGWARAWAUUGGGAGGAACACCAGUGGCGAAGGCGACUACCUGGACGAUAACUGACGCUGAGGCACGAAAGCUAGGGGAGCAAACAGGAUUAGAUACCCUGGUAGUCCUAGCCGUAAACGAUGGGUACUAGGUGUAGGUGGUUUCGAUACCAUCCGUGCCGUAGUUAACGCAUUAAGUACCCCGCCUGGGGAGUACGUGCGCAAGCAUGAAACUCAAAGGAAUUGACGG
rnacentral:rRNA from 1 species